CUGCCUUAGCCUGCCAAAGUGCUGGGAUUACAGGCCCAUACAUUGUGAAAUAUCAGAACAUUAGAGACAAAGAGAUAAUGUUCUAAGUGUCUGGAGAGGGAGAAAAAACAGGCCAUGUACAAGGAAUGAUAAUAAAAAUGACUCUGGGCUUCUCAGCAACAUUUGAAGGAAGAAGACAAUGGAAGAGUGUCUUCAAUGUGAUGGAAAAUGCCUUCCAACCUAGAAAUCCUAUAACCAACCAAACUGGCAAUGUGAAGAUUGACUAUAGACACUUGUAACAUCUGAACAAAAUUAGGCCAGGCGUGGUGGCUCACACCUGUAAACCCA
rnacentral:lncRNA from 10 species